rnacentral:pre_miRNA from 1 species
GAUUUCAACUGAAAAAGUCAUCAACAACAAAGUUGUAUAACUCAUCAAGAUCUAUAACUUUUAUUUUGGUCAUUUCUUCAUCCGACAAAGUGCUAGUAACAUUGUUCACAAAAUUUACAUAUAUGUAAAUUUUGUGAACAAUGUUACUAGCACUUUGUCGGAUGAAGAAAUGACAAAUAUAAAAGUUAUAGAUCUUGGUGAGUUAUACAACUUUGUUGUUGAUGACUUUUUUUAGUUGAAAUC